GAUGAACGCUAGCGGGAGGCUUAACACAUGCAAGUCGAGGGGCAGCAUAGGGUAGCAAUACUCUGAUGGCGACCGGCAAACGGGUGAGUAACGCGUAUGCAACCUACCCUGUACAGGGGGAUAACCCGGAGAAAUUCGGACUAAUAUCCCGUAAUAAUAUCCGGAGGCAUCUUUGGAUAUUUAAAGUUCCGACGGUACGGGAUGGGCAUGCGUAACAUUAACUGGUUGGUAAGGUAACGGCUUACCAAGGCUAUGAUGUUUAGGGGUCCUGAGAGGGUGGUCCCCCACACUGGUACUGAGACACGGACCAGACUCCUACGGGGGGCAGCAGUGAGGAAUAUUGGUCAAUGGGCGCAAGCCUGAACCAGCCAUCCCGCGUGCAGGAAGACGGCCCUAUGGGUUGUAAACUGCUUUUCCAGGGAGAGAAACUUACGCACGUGUUGCGUGACUGACGGUACCCUGGGAAUAAGCAUCGGCUAACUCCGUGCCAGCAGCCGCGGUAAACUCGUAGUCGU
rnacentral:rRNA from 1 species